ACAAAAAGGUCUCUAAAAAAUCCCUAAAGACCUAAAGCUAGCAAAAAUCCCAAAUUGCAGUUGUGGAUUGCUCAUAUCCCAAAUUUCAGCUGUUGGUCGCUCAAACCCCAAACUUUGGAUCUCCACUACUUGCACAACUCUGUUUUACUACUAAAUUUGUGCUUCUGCUUCUGAUCUUGACCUAUAAGUAGUAGCAGCUAAAAAGAAUUCUUUUUAUCAUCCCAUAAACUUCAGAGAGCAAUAAUGCCUUCCAACCAGAAUGAAAUUUAGCAUUUGUGCCUCCAAUAGUGCAUUUGACAGACCAAGAUCCCCUGCCUCUGCCUGGAACACGAAGCACUAAAUGGCCAUAGUUCUCAAGGAAAUACUUCCUGGAAAAUAUCGUGCUACGGACUGCUAUAGGAGAUUGGCUCAAAUUCAAGAAUUGGUGUCUGCACCUUCUCUUCCGAGCAUAGAGAUUGUAGAAAAAUGCUUUGGACCCCAGACUCGUGGCCAUGUAGUUGGCUUUGGUGGUGGCGUAAAGGCGAAGGACUUAAAAAGCGAGACUUCCUCAAAGACUGAAUUAUUGUCAGAACUUUGUUCAACUCAAGACUCAAGAGGAAAAUAACUGCUUGAAAGAUCGCUUGCCAAACAUAGAAAAUGAGAUGAAUCAAUUAAAAGAAUUGGUAUUAGCUCAACAUUCAAAUGUCCAGCCUUCGACAUCACCUAUUUUCGAAGAAGAAUGAAUAUACCAAGUGCUCAAAUGCCAGUUCAUUUCAAGCAACAUGAAAUGAUUACUGGAUUCCUCAGUGUUUUUGCAUAAAAGAUACCCACAUCAGAUACUGAAUAUGUUGGAUACGGGAGUUUACAUGAAGCAAGUUUGUGAGGACCUACAGCUGUUUGACUAUCAUUUUGCUAGGAAUGCUGGACAAAAUUUAUAUUAUAGGCUAGGGAUAUUUUUUUUUUAUAUUAGCUAUUUACGUUUUUUGCUAAGGGAAUAUGUACACAUUAUUGUGACCAUAUAGCUUAAUUACUUUGUGUCUGUACAGUGCCAAUAAUUGAUGUUUAUCCUUUUUGUAAUGCAUUUCUCUAUAUAUGUUUUCAAAG